UUGAAUUCGUGUUUUCAGGCUCUUUGAGCUCUGAAACACAACCCCCACUUUAUUACUCUGUGCACUUUUUAAAACGGUUUGGCUCUUUUUAGAGUCUUGCGUUUUAUCAUUUUAUAAACUUCAAGUAAUGUAUGUUUUUUGUUAAAUCUUAACAUAAA
rnacentral:misc_RNA from 1 species